rnacentral:rRNA from 1 species
AUUGAACGCUGGCGGCAGGCCUAACACAUGCAAGUCGAACGGUAACAGGAAGCAGCUUGCUGCUUUGCUGACGAGUGGCGGACGGGUGAGUAAUGUCUGGGAAACUGCCUGAUGGAGGGGGAUAACUACUGGAAACGGUAGCUAAUACCGCAUAACGUCGCAAGACCAAAGAGGGGGACCGUCGGGCCUCUUGCCAUCGGAUGUGCCCAGAUGGGAUUAGCUAGUAGGUGGGGUAACGGCUCACCUAGGCGACGAUCCCUAGCUGGUCUGAGAGGAUGACCAGCCACACUGGAACUGAGACACGGUCCAGACUCCUACGGGAGGCAGCAGUGGGGAAUAUUGCACAAUGGGCGCAAGCCUGAUGCAGCCAUGCCGCGUGUAUGAAGAAGGCCUUCGGGUUGUAAAGUACUUUCAGCGGGGAGGAAGGGAGUAAAGUUAAUACCUUUGCUCAUUGACGUUACCCGCAGAAGAAGCACCGGCUAACUCCGUG